GAUGAACGCUAGCGAUAGGCCUAACACAUGCAAGUCGAGGGGCAUCACAUGAAGUAGCAAUACGGAUGGUGGCGACCGGCGCACGGGUGAGUAACACGUAUGCAACCUGCCUUCAACAAGGGGAUAACCCGUUGAAAGACGGACUAAUACCCUAUAACACAGGGGUCCCGCAUGGGAAUAUUUGUUAAAGGACAACCGGUUGAAGAUGGGCAUGCGUUCCAUUAGCUAGUUGGCGGGGUAACGGCCCACCAAGGCAACGAUGGAUAGGGGAACUGAGAGGUUUAUCCCCCACACUGGUACUGAGACACGGACCAGACUCCUACGGGAGGCAGCAGUGAGGAAUAUUGGUCAAUGGACGCAAGUCUGAACCAGCCACGUCGCGUGAAGGAAGACGGCCCUACGGGUUGUAAACUUCUUUUAUACGGGAAUAAAGUGCCCCACGCGUGGGGUUUUGCAUGUACCGUAUGAAUAAGGAUCGGCUAACUCCGUGCCAGCAGCC
rnacentral:rRNA from 1 species